AUGUUUAGUUCCCACUGUGAAGUAUGGAGGAGGAGGUGUGAUGGUGUGGAGCUAGUGACACUGUCACUGAUUUAUUUAGAAUUCAAGGCACACUUAAACAGCAUGGCUACCACACCAUUCUGCAGUGAUACCACCACUAUCUCUCGCUCCCCACUAUCUCUCUCACUCUCUCUCCCCCCUCUCUUUCUCUCUCCCUCUUUCUCUCCCCCCUCCCUCUCUCUCUGCCCCCCGUCUCUCUCACACUCCGUCUCCUUCUCUCUGUCACUCCUUAUGUCUCUCACUCCUCUCCCCCGCCCUUUCUUUCCCCCUUCUCUCUCUCGGACACUCUCCGUUGCUCUCACCCCCUUCUCUCCCUCCUCUCUCUCCCCCUUCUCCCCCCUUCUCUCCCUCCUCUCUCCCCCUUCUCCCUCUCUUUCUCUCUCCCCCUUCUCUCCCCCUUCUCUCUCUCUCCCCCUCCCUCUCUCUCCCACUUUCACUCUUUUCGUUCUCACUCCCGUCUCUCUCGCUCUCACUCCCCUUUCUCUCCCCUUCUCUCUCCCCCUUUUGCUCUCACUCUCUCUCCCCCUUUCGCUCUCACACUCUCUCCCCCUUUCGCUCUCUCCCCUUUCGCUCUCGUGUUCUCUCCCCCUUUCUCUCUCACGCUCUCUCCCCCUUUCGCUCUUGCGCUCUCCCACUUUCACUCUCUCUCCCACUUUCACUCUUGCGCUCUCUCCCCCUUUCGCUCGCUCUCUCUCUCUCCCCCUUUCGCUCUCUCUCCCACUUUCGCUCUCCCGCUCUCUCCCCCUUUCGCUCUCUCCCCUUUCGCUCUCGUGUUCUCUCCCCCUUUCUCUCUCACGCUCUCUCCCCCUUUCGCUCUUGCGCUCUCCCACUUUCUCUCUUGCGCUCUCUCCCCCUUUCGCUCUCUCUCCCCCUUUCGCUCGCUCUCUCUCUCUCCCCCUUUCGCUCUCUCUCCCACUUUCGCUCUCCCGCUCUCUCCCCCUUUCGCUCUCUCUUCCCCUUUCACUCUCUCUCUCUCGCCCCCUUUCGCUCUCGCUCUCUCUCCCCUUUCACUCUCGUGCUCUCUCCCCCAUUCACUCUCUCACUCUCGCCCCCUUUCACUCUCGAUCUCUCUCCCCUUUCGCUCUCGUGCUCUCUCCCCCUUUUGCUCUCGCUCCCCUUUCUCUCUCUCUCUCUCUCUCCCACUUUCGCUCUCGCACUCUCUCCCCCUUUCGCUCUCGCUCCCCUUUCUCUCUCUCUCUCUCUCCCACUUUCGCUCUAUCUCUCUCCCACUUUCGCUCUUGCGCUCUCUCCCCCUUUCGCUCUCUCUCUCACUUUCGCUCUCGCUCUCUCUCCCCUUCUCUCUCUCCCCCUCUCUCUCACUUCUUUCUCUCCCCCUCUCUCUCCUUCCCUUCCAUCCCCCUUCUCUCUCUCCCCCCUUCUCUCUCGCUCUCUCCCUACUCUCUUGCUCUCCUCCUACUCUCUCGCUCUCCACCUACUCCCUCUUUCUUUCCUCCUACUCCCUCUUUCUCUCCCACCCUCCCUCUUCUCAGUGCUCAGUGGAGUCAGUAUGUUAUUUAA
rnacentral:lncRNA from 8 species